rnacentral:rRNA from 1 species
UACGUAGGGUGCAAGCGUUAAUCGGAAUUACUGGGCGUAAAGCGUGCGCAGGCGGCUUUGCAAGACAGAUGUGGAAUCCCCGGGCUUAACCUGGGAACUGCAUUUGUGACUGCAUGGCUGGAGUGCGGCAGAGGGGGAUGGAAUUCCGCGUGUAGCAGUGAAAUGCGUAGAUAUGCGGAGGAACACCGAUGGCGAAGGCAAUCCCCUGGGCCUGCACUGACGCUCAUGCACGAAAGCGUGGGGAGCAAACAGG